rnacentral:rRNA from 1 species
AAUAUCGACCGGGCCCUUUGGCCCGAAUACCGGGUGACCCCGCCUGCCGAGAAAAGCUUCGGCGUCAGGCUCGAAGCCGCCCGUACCCCAAACCGACACUGGUGGUCAGGUAGAGAAUACCAAAGCGAUCGAGCGAAUCCUGGUCAAGGAACUCGGCAAAUCACUCCCGUUCCUUCGGUUUAAGGGAGACCCCCGAUGGUGAACCGCCUCGCGCGGGGAGCUUUUGGGGGUGGCACAGACCAGGGGGUAGCGACUGUUUACCAAAAACACAGGUGCAUGCGAAGGCGCAAGCCGCUGUAUAUGCACUGACGCCUGCCCGGUGCCGGAAGGUUAAGAGGAUCCGUCAGCCUUCGGGUGAAGCGGUGAAUUCAAGCCCCGGUAAACGGCGGUGGUAACUAUAACCAUCCUAAGGUAGCGAAAUUCCUUGUCGGGUAAGUUCCGACCUGCACGAAUGGCGUAACGACUUCCCCACUGUCUCGACCAGGAGCUCGGCGAAAUUGCAGUACGAGUAAAGAUGCUCGUUAAGCGCAGAAGGACGAAAAGACCCCGGGACCUUUACUAUACCUUGGUAUUGGCAUUCGGUGUGGAUUGUGUAGCAUAGGCGGGAGGCCGAGAGGCGCGGUCGCCAGAUCGCGCGGAGCCGUAAGGUGAAAUACCGCUCUGUUCGCAUUGGAUGUCUAACCUCGAACAGUCAUCCUGUUCAGGGACAGUGCCUGGCGGGUAGUUUAACUGGGGCGGUUGCCUCCCAAAGAGUAACGGAGGCGCCCAAAGGUCCGCUCAGCCCGGUUGGCAAUCGGGUGGCGAGUGCAAGUGCACAAGCGGGCUUGACUGCGAGGACGACGGUCCGAGCAGGGACGAAAGUCGGGACUAGUGAUCCGGUGCCGGUGUACGGACGCGGCAUCGCUCAACGGAUAAAAGGUACCCCGGGGAUAACAGGCUGAUCAUUCCCAAGAGUCCAUAUCGACGGGAUGGUUUGGCACCUCGAUGUCGGCUCGUCGCAUCCUGGGGCUGGAGCAGGUCCCAAGGGUUCGGCUGUUCGCCGAUUAAAGCGGCACGCGAGCUGGGUUCAGAACGUCGUGAGACAGUUUGGUCUCUAUCCUCUGCGCUCGUUGGAAUGCUGAGGAGGCCUGCCCAUAGUACGAGAGGACCUGGGUGGACGAACCUCUGGUAUGCCGGUUGUCACGCCAGUGGCACGGCCGGUUGGCUACGUUCGGAAGGGAUAACCGCUGAAAGCAUCUAAGCGGGAAGCCUGCUCCAAGAUAAGCAUUCCAUAGGACUACGGGUCCUUGAAGUCCCCAUGCAGAACACGUGGUUGAUAGGCCGGAGGUGGAAGCCCCGCGAGGGGUGGAGCCGACCGGUACUAACGGACGAAAGGCAACACUAA